rnacentral:rRNA from 1 species
CAGUAGCCGCGGUAAUACGGAGGGAGCUAGCGUUGUUCGGAAUUACUGGGCGUAAAGCGCACGUAGGCGGCUUUGUAAGUCAGAGGUGAAAGCCUGGAGCUCGACUCCAGAACUGCCUUUGAGACUGCAUCGCUUGAAUCCAGGAGAGGUGAGUGGAAUUCCGAGUGUAGAGGUGAAAUUCGUAGAUAUUCGGAAGAACACCAGUGGCGAAGGCGACACACUGGGUCAUUACUGACGCUGAGGCGCGAAAGCGUGGGGAGCAAACAGGAUUAGAUACCCCAGUAGUCCCUGUCUCUUAUAC